rnacentral:rRNA from 1 species
AUGGCGAGCGAGGAGGGCCAGCUCAAGACGCGGGUGUCCGACCGUCUGAUGGCGCUCCUGGGCUACUCCGAGGUCAUGGUGGUGCGCCUGGUGCUCCGCCUCGCGCGGGACAGCGCCUCGGCGGCCGACCUCGCGGCGCGCCUCGUCGACCUCGCCGGCCUCCCCUCCUCCGCCGACACCGUCGCCUUCGCGGAGGACGUGCACGCCAUGUUCCCCCGCAAGGGCUCCCGCGUCAGCGAGUACCGGAAGCAGGUGCAGGAGGCGGCGGCGUUCGCCAAGAGGCAGAGCGCCCUCAAGCUGCUCGACGACGAGGACGAUGUCGCUGAAGACGCCGGCGCCACCACCACCGCGUGGUCCUCUAACAGCAACAUCAAGAAGCGUUUCAGGCAGAAGGCCGCGAGCCAAGGGGAUGACGACGGCGAGGAGGAGGCGACUGUAAUGCGCGAUUCAGGGCGGAAAGUGCGAGCGCGGCGUGCUCCCGCGACGGACGGCGGCGAUUCUGGUGGGGAGGAACUAGAGGAGAUGGACCGUGACCAGAUCGAGAAGGCUCAGCUCGACCAGCACAUCAGAGAACGCGACGCGGCCAGCACUAGGAAACUGACGGAUGGGAAGCCGUCCAAGCGAGAACAGGGCGAGCUCGCCCGGCGGUCCGAAGCCAUGGACAGGGGCGACACCUCGGAGCUCAGGACGGCCUCGCGGCACGCGUACCUGGAAAAGCGGAAGAAGAUGAAGGUGGAGGAGAUGCGAGACGAGAUCAUCGACAACGAGCUUAUCUUCCACGGCGUCAAGAUGACGAACGCCGAAGAGCAGGAAUUCAGGCGCAAGAAGGAAAUCUACGAGCUUGUCAAGGACCGCGUCGGAAAGGACGCAGACGCCGGCGACUACUAUAGGAUGCCAGAGGCAUACGACGCCGCAGAAAACUUGGAUCAGGCUAAGCGGUUCGCCGUUCCGAGGCAACGGUACGAUGACCCCGAGGCGUCGGCGGCGAGAGGCGGCAGGAGGAGCAAUUUCUUCUCGGAGCAGGAGGCCUGGGAAGAGCAGCAGAUAAGGAAGUCUCGGCUGAACUUUGGAUCAGGUGACGGUGGCCGGGCCGGCGGCGGCUACGAGCUUGUCCUGGAAGACGUGGUCGACUUCGUCAAGUCCACCGUGCAGGCCGGCGCCGAGCCGGACGGCGAGAUGGACGAACUGGCCGAGGCCGUCGACGCCAAGGUCAAGUUACAGCGGGAGCUGCAGGACGAGAGGAAGAAUCUGCCCGUGUACAAGUUCAAGGACGACCUGCUCAAGGCCAUCGAAAAGUACCAGGUGCUGAUCAUCGUCGGAGAGACCGGCUCCGGCAAGACCACGCAGAUACCUCAGUACCUCCACGAGGCCGGGUACACGGCCAAGGGGAAGAAGAUCGCGUGCACGCAGCCGCGGCGCGUGGCGGCGAUGAGCGUGGCGGCGAGGGUGGCGCAGGAGCUGGGCGUCAAGCUCGGGCACGAGGUCGGCUACUCCAUCAGGUUCGAGGACUGCACCUCGGACAAGACAGUGAUCAAGUACAUGACGGACGGGAUGCUCCUGCGGGAGUUCCUCGGCGAGCCGGACCUGGCGAGCUACAGCGUGGUGAUCGUGGACGAGGCGCACGAGCGCACGCUCUCCACCGACAUCCUCUUCGGCCUGGUCAAGGACAUUGCGCGCUUCCGGCCGGACGUGAAGCUGCUCAUCUCCAGCGCCACGCUCAACGCCGAGAGGUUCAGCGACUUCUUCGACGAGGCCCCCAUCUUCAAGAUCCCCGGGAGGCGGUACAAGGUGGACAUCCACUACACCACGGCGCCGGAGGCGGACUACAUCGCCGCGGCCGUGGUCACGGUCCUGCAGCUGCACGUCAAGCAGCCCGCCGGCGACAUCCUGCUGUUCCUCACGGGGCAGGAGGAGAUCGAGACGGUGGAAGAGCUACUGAAGCAGAAGAUGAGGACGGUCGGCAGCAAGAUUGCAGAGCUGGUGAUCUGCCCGAUCUACGCGAACCUGCCCACCGAGCUCCAGGCCAAGAUCUUCGAGCCGACGCCGGAGGGCGCCCGCAAGGUGGUCCUGGCCACCAACAUCGCCGAGACGUCGCUGACCAUCGACGGGAUCAAGUACGUGAUCGACCCGGGCUUCUGCAAGCUCAAGUCGUACAACCCGCGCACGGGCAUGGAGUCGCUGCGCGUUGAGCCCAUCUCCAAGGCGUCGGCGGACCAGCGCGCCGGCCGGUCGGGGCGCACAGGGCCGGGCAAGUGCUUCCGCCUCUUCACGGAGUACAACUUCAGGCACGACCUGGACGACGAUACGGUCCCGGAGAUCCAGAGGAGCAACCUGGCCAACGUGGUGCUGAGGCUCAAGGCGCUGGGCAUCAACGACCUGGUGAGCUUCGACUUCAUGGACCCCCCGGCGUCGGAGGCGCUGCUCAAGGCCCUGGAGGAGCUCUUCGCCCUCGGCACGCUCAACAGCCGCGGCGAGCUCACCAAGACCGGGAGGCGGAUGGCGGAGUUCCCCCUGGACCCCAUGCUCUCCAAGGCCAUCGUCGCGUCGGAGAAGUACGGGUGCUCCGAGGAGGUGGUGACCAUCGCGGCCAUGCUGUCGGCCGGGAACGCCGUCUUCUACCGGCCCAAGGACAAGCUGGUGCUCGCCGACACGGCGCGGCAGGCCUUCCACGCGGGCAACGUCGGCGACCACGUGGCGCUGCUCAACGUGUACAACGCGUGGACAGAGUCGGGCUACUCGUCGCAGUGGUGCCGCGAGAACUUCGUGCAGCCGCGCACCAUGAAGCGCGCGCGGGACGUGCGGGACCAGCUGGAGGCGCUGCUGGAGCGGGUGGAGAUCGAGCACUGCUCCGGCGCCGGCGACCUCGACGGGAUAAGGAAGGCGGUCACGGCGGGCUACUUCCGUAACGCCGCGCGGCGGCAGAAGGACGGGUCGUACCGUGCCGUCAAGAGCCGGCAGAUGGUGUUCGUGCACCCGAGCUCCGGGAUGGCGGAGCUGCCGCCUACGUGGGUGGUGUACCAUGAGCUGGUGCUGACCAGCAAGGAGUACAUGCGGCAGGUGACGGAGCUCAAGCCGGAGUGGCUGCUGGAGAUCGCGCCGCACUAUUACCAGCGCAAGGACAUCGACGGGCACCAGCCAAAGAAGACGGCCAAGGACAAAGGUCCAGCGGCGAGGCAAACCUGA